CCGAGUUUACAACUCCCAAACCCCUGUGAACAUACCACUUGUUGCCUCGGCGGAUCAGCCCGCUCCCGGUAAAACGGGACGGCCCGCCAGAGGACCCCUAAACUCUGUUUCUAUACGUAACUUCUGAGUAAAACCAUAAAUAAAUCA
rnacentral:misc_RNA from 1 species